rnacentral:rRNA from 1 species
AUUGAACGCUAACGGCGUGCUUAACACAUGCAAGUCGAGCGGCAGCAUGAUCUGUAGCAAUACAGAUUGAUGGCGAGCGGCGGACGGGUGAGUAACAUAUAGGAAUCUGCCUUGUAGUGGGGGAUAACCCGGGGAAACUCGGGCUAAUACCGCAUAAUCUCUACGGAGCAAAGUGGGGGACCGUAAGGCCUCACGCUAAAAGAUGAGCCUAUAUUGGAUUAGCUAGUUGGUGAGGUAAUGGCUCACCGAGGCGACGAUCCAUAGCUAGUCUGAGAGGAUGAUCAGCCACACUGGGACUGAGACACGGCCCAGACUCCUACGGGAGGCAGCAGUGGGGAAUAUUGGACAAUGGGCGCAAGCCUGAUCCAGCAACGCCGUGUGUGUGAAGAAGGCCUUCGGGUUGUAAAGCACUUUUAGUUGGGAAGAAAAGCUUAUGGUUAAUAACCAUGAGUGAUGACGUUACCAACAGAAAAAGCACUGGCUAACUCUGUGCCAGCAGCCGCGGUAA